AAGAUUAAAUAAUAUAAGUUUUUGACUUUUACCUCCGGCACUUUUUUUACUAUUAGGUUCCUCUUUAGUAGAACAAGGAGCGGGUACAGGGUGGACGGUUGAAAGGCCGCCCGAGUUAGUGAUGACUUGGUGAAAAUUUUGCUCAAUGCGAGAACAUCCUCAAAAAAAAGGUGCUUUGGCUCAUUGAUUAACCCUAAAAAGGUACCUUUUGAUGGCCCCAUGCAAAAAUCCUUUUUUACGCCGAAGGCGCCGUGGACAACUCGCCGGGGGCCCAAGCCUAUGGGCCCCUCAGAGACUAAAUGCAGAAUAUCUUCUAUUUUUUGAUAGGCGCCGGGCCCCUUAACGGGCGCCGAAGGCGCCCAAUGGGAGCCAACGACCGAUGGCGCCAUAGGCGCCGAAGGCGCCGAUAGAAAUAAAGGGCCCGAAGCGACCGAUUCACCAAUCGGUCGCUUCGGCCGAUGGAAGAUAAAGGAAUAGUCCGAUCCGACUCUAAAGGGUCGG
rnacentral:ncRNA from 1 species